rnacentral:rRNA from 1 species
GACGAACGCUGGCGGCGUGCUUAACACAUGCAAGUCGAACGGAAAGGCCCUGCUUUUGUGGGGUGCUCGAGUGGCGAACGGGUGAGUAACACGUGAGUAACCUGCCCUUGACUUUGGGAUAACUUCAGGAAACUGGGGCUAAUACCGGAUAGGAGCUCCUGCUGCAUGGUGGGGGUUGGAAAGUUUCGGCGGUUGGGGAUGGACUCGCGGCUUAUCAGCUUGUUGGUGGGGUAGUGGCUUACCAAGGCUUUGACGGGUAGCCGGCCUGAGAGGGUGACCGGCAACAUUGGGACUGAGAUACGGCCCAGACUCCUACGGGAGGCAGCAGUGGGGAAUAUUGCACAAUGGGCGGAAGCCUGAUGCAGCAACGCCGCGUGCGGGAUGACGGCCUUCGGGUUGUAAACCGCUUUCGCCUGUGACGAAGCGUGAGUGACGGUAAUGGGUAAAGAAGCACCGGAUAACUACGU